rnacentral:lncRNA from 1 species
GCUUUAAUCAACUGGUUUUAUUUCCUAGAACUGAAACAUUCUAUGGUUGGUUCUCAGAUCAAACUUCCGAAACUGCAGUCAACAAUUUUUCAUCAGAGCCCAAGGGAGAGGGGAAGGGGUGAAAGAGACAAUAGAUGGAGAAAGGCAUAAUGACCAUUAGGAAGAGGGUGGGAGGAGACACAUCUUCCUCUGUUAUCAGUGAGCUACAUACUAGACCUGUUGAUGGGACCAGGUGAUGGUACCUGAAUGGAAAAUGACACUGUGACGAACAGCAAAGCCUGACUACAAGUCAUAAAACUUCAAACAGAAAGGGAGCCUUCCAGUUUGUCUCAGCAAUGGAACAGCAAUGGGAAAGCUAGGGCCAGCGUGGAGGCACACCUAGAGGUAGUUCUUAAAAAUUCUUCUUGGAACUUCCUUUUAUUAAAAAGAUUUUAUAAAAUAUGUGUCUUUUCUUCUACGCCUGAGUGAUAUAUAUGACGGUAGGGUGGCCUUGAGGCUGUGGGGAGAGAAAGCGGCAGCCAAGGAUCUUCCCAGGGCAUCCCAUCAGUGGCCCCAGAGAUCUAAAUGGGACAGAUAUUUCUCACGGUCCCCAACCAGGAUAUUGGGCAAAGUUAAGUUUUCAGAUCUCACAAACAACUUGGAAGCCCCCAAACGUUUUGAUGAAAAACGGCAACUCCCAGAACUUCCUGGGUCAGCAAAAGGAUUUGUGGAAGGCGGGGGGCAUUCCCCACAUGCUGCCCCUUUUCCCUAAAUGUCUGAAGCUGGCAGGUAUGGCAGGCAUGGACAGGAGCUCAGGAAGAUGUCGCUCUCCUGCCCGCUAACUACCACAGCUUGAAGACUGCUCAUCCCAGGCCCUGCAAGUGCCCUCUGCUCUUUAUCUGCCAGGCCUUUCACUCCUACCCAUAUUCCUAAGCAGAGGUUCAUAAUGCCUGGGGAAGCAGGAGGGGUGGAGAGGGGUGUCUAGAGGUGAAAACAGCCUGCCUGAACCCCAAGUCGGAAACGGAAUCAGGCAACGAGUGGGCGGGGGUGGGGUGGGGUGGGGUGGCGGGUAGAGGGGGGAGAAGAGGGAGCCGGAAGCUGGGGGCACAGAGGUGAGAGUCAGGUGGCCUGCCAUCCUGGGGCCCGGCAGGGCAAAGGAGCGCGGGUUGGAGGAGGACGGGCUGAGGAGAGGGAAAGGCAGUCCCAGUUUGCACGCCGUGGUCAGAUUCCCCAAGAACGGCCAGGCCGCAGCAGGAACGGGGCAGGGGCUCUUCUGGAAACGCUGGUAACUACAGGCUGUCGCGAUCUCCGCCGCCCGGUGCCUCGGCAUGCCACUCCUGGGAGGCCUCCUCGUCCGCGACUUCUUCCUCCCGGAGCUCCUCCUCCUCUGGCUGAGGCGGCUCGCAGACCAGGCCCGGCUCGCUAGGGGCGCUGCCGUUCUCCACCGCCACGAGGAACGGACUCUCCUCGUCGACGGCCGUCGCCGCCGCCGCCGCCGCCGCCCUCUCCGCUUCCGCCGCCCUCUCCGCCUCCGCCUCCUCCUCUUGGUCGGGGGCUGCCUCCUUGGGUCGUUUGGGGGCGUCCUCCGGCGGGUCCCCCGCGCUCCUCUUCAGCGGCCCCUUCUCCUCCUCAGUGGGCUUGUCGUCGUCCGGCUUCCCCAAUUCGUCGCCGCCGCCACCAGCGUGGGUCGGCUUGUCCUCGUCGCCCUCUGCGGCCUCGGGCUCCGGCCAAGGCCCGUCUCCGCUGCCCUUCUCUGAGGCUAAUGGGCAGUCGGAGGCCUGGACCGUGGGGUUGUUCUCGAUUUCCCACAGCCCCGCGCUGAAGCCGCGCCUCUUGUUGGGCUUGCCGAACUUCUCCUUGCACUCCUUGUACGGGAACAGGCGUUUGGGACUCAGGAAGGCCGUCUCGUGGGUCCCGAAGAAAAACACCUGGUAGCGGUUGGGCUGGGUCAUGUGCUCUAUCCUCGCCGGCCAGUGGGCAUAGCCCUUUAACUUGGCAAACACCAGGUCCCCGCUCUUGUACAUGGGCAUGCCGUAGGCCGACAUAGCUGGUUCU